rnacentral:rRNA from 1 species
UGCGCAGGCGGACCUAUCAGUCAGUGGUGAAAUCUCUCGGCUCAACCGGGAAACUGCCAUUGAUACUGUAGGUCUUGAGUUUGGUUGAAGUGGGCGGAAUGUAGCAUGUAGCGGUGAAAUGCAAAGAUAUGCUACAGAACACCGAUCGCGAAGGCAGCUCACUAAACCAAAACUGACGCUCAGGCACGAAAGCGUGGGUAGCGAACAGGAUUAGAUACCCUGGUAGUCC